CUAAUUCGAUGUCAUUUCACAUUCGGCAUCUAUGCUAUAAUACAUCUCGCAACACUGCUCAGACUUUGUUUUGGUCGGCGGUUGUUGGCCGCCAUUAGUGCGCGAUCGCGUUUUAUUUUGUGGAUUUCCGGAGUUUCCGACGCAAAAAACUCCUGAAAAUAGUGAAUUUAGAAACAUCGGCCAGGAAGGCAAUCAACGAAGCAGGAAAUUAAGACGUCUCUGGAGAAAAUGUGCUCCCUUGUGAUCCUUCCGGCAUAACCGUCUCAACCGGUAAACCAGUCGGGAGAAUUCAACCUUUGUCGACGUUUGUUGUCCAGCAAAAGCCAUGAAACCGGCCAUACCAAAGGAAGUCUGGUGGCUCAUUUCAAUAAUCUGCCCAUGGAUAGACUUGGGAAUAAGUGGAGACGCUCGUAAACGGGAUCCGGCGUCCCGUUUAUCUGCCAUUCCAAUCGAUCUUCAGCAACUGGCGCGCUGCAAUGAUGUGAGCUUCUAAUGAUGAACCUAAAUGGAGCUUCGGAACAACUACGGUAAAAAAGGCUCAACAGAGUACGAACUUUCCACAAUGGUUCACAGUCUAAUCAGGAAGUCAGCACACAAGAUCGAGCGUCUUCUGGUAUUCAUCACUCUGGGUUUCAUUGCGAAGGCCUAUUACUGUUAAAAAUAAUAAUAUGUAAUAAAAAAAUAAAUAAAAUUUAAUACUGUCUGUUUAACCAUUC
rnacentral:lncRNA from 1 species